GUAGGUGGCAAGCGUUGUCCGGAAUUAUUGGGCGUAAAGCGCGCGCAGGCGGUUCUUUAAGUCUGAUGUGAAAGCCCACGGCUCAACCGUGGAGGGUCAUUGGAAACUGGAGAACUUGAGUACAGAAGAGGAAAGCGGAAUUCCACGUGUAGCGGUGAAAUGCGUAGAGAUGUGGAGGAACACCAGUGGCGAAGGCGGCUUUCUGGUCUGUAACUGACGCUGAGGCGCGAAAGCGUGGGGGGAGCAAACAGGAUUAGAUACCCUGGUAGUCCACGCCGUAAACGAUGAGUGCUAAGUGUUAGGGGGUUUUCCCGCCCCUUAGUGCUGCAGCUAACGCAUUAAGCACUCCCGCCUGGGAGUACGGCCGCAAGGCUG
rnacentral:rRNA from 1 species